GGGGGAAAAAUUAAUAAGAUAAAAUAAAAAAAAAAAUUAAAAAUAUUAUAAUGGGGGUUAAAGUAUUUUUAAAAAAAAAUUUUAUUAUUUAUAGGGGAAUAGUAUUGUGAAAGAAUUUUGAAAAAUUUUGAAAAAGAAUUAUUUUAAAAGUAAAUUUAAUUUAUUGUAUCUUGUGUAUCAGAGUUUAUUAAAUAUUAUAUUUAUGAAAAUAUAUCUCGAAUUUAAAAGAGAUAAUUAAUUAAUAAAGUUAAUGUUAUAUAAUUAUUUUAAAUAAUUAAUUUGAAAUGAAAUGUUAAUCGUUUUUAAAUAUAUCUAGUUUUUUUAGAAAAAAAUUCAAUUUUAAAUUAUUUUUUUUUUAAUUAAAUUUUUAAUAAAAAAAAAUAAAUAAUUAAAUAUUUUAGGGGAUAAGCUUUAAAUUAAAUUUUUAUAUAUAAAUUAAAUUUAUAAUAAGAUUUUUAGAAUUUAUAUUUUUUAUAAAUUAUAAUUUUUUAUAAAUAAUUUUAUUAAUAUUAAAAUUUAAUUAAUUAUUUUAAAUUUUUAUAAAAAAAUAUUUUUUAAUUAAAAUAAAUUAGGAAUAAUGAUAGAAUUAGUAUAUUUUUUAUAAAAAUUUAAAAUGAAUUUUAAUUAAGAAAAAGGAAUUCGGCAAAAAUUUAUAUUCACUUGUUUAUCAAAAACAUGUCUUUUUGAAAAUAAUAAAAAGUCUAAUCUGCCCACUGAAUUUAUUUAAAGGGCUGCAGUAUAUUGACUGUACAAAGGUAGCAUAAUCAAUAGUCUUUUAAUUGAAGACUUGUAUGAAUGAUUUGAUGAAAUAUGAACUGUCUCUUUUUUAAAAAUAAAAUUUAAUUUUUUAGUUAAAAAGCUAAAAUAAUUAUAAAAGACGAGAAGACCCUAUAGAGUUUUAUAGUUAUUUAAUUUAAAAAUUUUAUAUAUAAUUUAAAUUUAAAAUUAAUUAAUUAUUUUAUUGGGGUGAUAGAAAAAUUAAAAAAACUUUUUUUAAAAAUUUAACAUUAAUUUAUGAAAUUAUGAUCCAUAAUUUAUGAUUAAAAGAAUCAAUUACCUUAGGGAUAACAGCGUAAUUUUUUUUUUUAGUACAAAUAAGAAAAAGAGUUUGCGACCUCGAUGUUGGAUUAAGAUAAAAUUUAAAUGCAAAAGUUUAAAAUUUUGAUCUGUUCGAUCAUUAAAAUCUUACAUGAUCUGAGUUCAAACCGGUGUAAGCCAGGUUGGUUUCUAUCUUUAUAUUAAUAUAAUAGUUUAGUACGAAAGGAUCAAUUAUUGUAAAUAAUUUAAUUUGAUAUAAUGAAUAUUAUUAAUUAUAAUUUAAU
rnacentral:rRNA from 1 species